rnacentral:rRNA from 1 species
AUGGCUCGCCUCCUCGCGCGAACCCUAACCCUAGGCCGCCCGGCCGCCCCGGGCUCCUCCCUGCAGCCCCACCGCGCCCUCUCAGACAAGGUGGAGCUGAUCGAGAUCGACCUCUCCGAGGAAUCCGCCUCCUCCACCUCCUCCGGGGACUCCGGGGAGGAGCCGAUGGGGAUGGGGCGCCUGAACGACGCCAUCCACGGCGUCCUGGUUCGGCGGGCCGCUCCGGAGUGGCUCCCCUUCGUGCCCGGGGGGUCGUACUGGGUGCCGCCGAUGCGGCGGCCGCUCGGGGUGUCCGAUCUCGUCGGCACCGUCGUCUACAACGCGAGGGCCGCCGUGGACGCGGCGGAGAUGACGAGGGCCACCAUGGUUAAGGCCGCGAUGACCAAGGAGGAGGCCAUGUGCUUCACCACGCAGCGGGGAUGGCCGUCAGAGGCCUAUUUCGUCCAAGGGAAAGUUUGGCAUCCAGUGAAGAAGUCAAGGAAAAAUGCUAAAACUGAUGAUGAGGAAAGCUAA